UUUUCUCCGAAAUAUUGUUGAUGGAGUGGCAGCAGAAGAAUUAGAAUCAAAAAAACUGUUUCAAAUGAAGGCCACAGGCACCGACGUAGACACGCAGAGAGCAGCGAUGACAGAAUUAUUUUAUUAUUACCACGGCGGCAACGCGCCGACCAAUCAAUGUCGUUAAAUUCGAUCCGCCAUUUUGUGCUGUUUAUCAGGGAAAUUUUAAUCACGCAAUACGGAUUCACAUUCACGUGGAUUAGCGUCAACAAGAAGUGUCGAGCUGUAAAGAACUUGUCCUCUACGUACGCCACUAACAUUGCACGCCAAUCACCAUCCACUCGCCGUCGGGACGAUCGUUUUUAAAUUAAUUUUAUUUUUAAUUUUAUUGCCUUCCUAUAGACAGGAAAACAUUAAAAAAAAAAAAAAAACGCAGAUACGUUUUAUCGACUUUUAGUAUUUUUAAAUUACGACACUUAUAUUUGUGAAAGAGAAAGAAAGAAUUUGUGCCAAACCAUUGUAUAAAUCAUAUUUGUACGUUCAGAGACGCACAACAAAAAACACCAUGCCACCAAUUGAUCCCAUGCAGCUAUUGAAUUGCUUAAAAGUUUUGCUAAAUGAAGAUUCUGGYGGUCUUAAAGGUCCUCCUGAAGCAAUGCAGAUAUCCAGGUUGAUGGCAAAAUUCUCAAAAAAAAUUGUUAGUAAAAGCU